rnacentral:rRNA from 1 species
UACGGAGGGAGCUAGCGUUGUUCGGAAUUACUGGGCGUAAAGCGCACGUAGGCGGCUUUUUAAGUCAGGGGUGAAAUCCCGGGGCUCAACCCCGGAACUGCCCUUGAAACUGGAGAGCUAGAAUCUUGGAGAGGCGAGUGGAAUUCCGAGUGUAGAGGUGAAAUUCGUAGAUAUUCGGAAGAACACCAGUGGCGAAGGCGACUCGCUGGACAAGUAUUGACGCUGGAGGUGCGAAAGCGUGGGGGAGCAAAACAGG